AUUCAACUGAUGAGUUCAAAAUGGGACGAAACUCGUGUCUUAUAU
rfam:Schistosoma margrebowiei strain Zambia genome assembly, scaffold: SMRZ_contig0005546